rnacentral:rRNA from 1 species
UUCUAAAUAAAGACCAGUAUGAAUGGCUAAAUGAGGACAGACCUGUCUCCUGUGACUAACCAGUGAAACUGAUCUUCCAGUACAAAAGCUGGAAUACAGACACAAGACGAGAAGACCCUGUGGAGCUUCAAACACCCACUAACAAGCAAACAUUUGCCCUAGUGUAUAGUUUUAAGUUGGGGCGACUUCGGAGUAAAAUAAAACCUCCGAGCACAGAGCCACACACUCUUACCAAGGCCAACAAGCCAAAGUUAAAACAACCGAUCCGGUAUUACCGAUCAACGAACCAAGUUACCCCAGGGACAACAGCGCUAUCUUCUUCAAGAGUCCCUAUCGACAAGAAGGUUUACGACCUCGAUGUUGGAUCAGGACACCCAAAUGGUGCAGCCGCUAUUAACGGUUCGUUUGUUCAACGAUUAACAGUCCUACGUGAUCU